CGCGGGUGGUGGCUGGCAAGCCUGCGCCAGGCCCUGGAAGUCAAAGCGGUAGGCGUAGCGCUUGCCGUGCACCUUGCUCAUGAUGUUUUUGUCGUAGUAGUAGCGCAGCGCGCGACUUAGCUUGUCGUAGUUCAUGUUAGGCUUGCUCUUGCGCUCGCCCCAGCGCCGCGCCACCUCGUCCGGGUCGGUGAGCUUGAACUCGCCGUGGCCGCCCUCCCACGCGAUGCAACCGGCGUUCGCGCGAUCUGCCAGCAGCUCCAGGAGAAACUGCCACAACUGGAUCUGCCCGCUGCCUGUGGGGAACGGGAGCAGUUAGCCACGGACUGGGGCAAAGACUGCACAGCGGUGCGGUACAAGCCAGCCGGGUGCAGGAGGUUGAACUGCCCAACCAGCUGAGGUCCUGUCCAGAGAUCCAGACAGAAUGGUCAGUUAUGCACGUAGAUGAAGGUCCUUGGCCCCACCUAUACGAGCAGUAAACAGUCCCU
rnacentral:lncRNA from 1 species